rnacentral:rRNA from 1 species
GACAGAGGUUGCAAACGUUGUUCGGAAUCACUGGGCAUAAAGCGCACGUAGGCGGUCUGUUAAGUCAGGUGUGAAAGCCCCCGGCUCAACCGGGGAAUUGCAUUUGAUACUGGCAGGCUCGAGAACGGUAGGGGUGAGUGGAACUCCAGGUGGAGCGGUGAAAUGCGUAGAUAUCUGGAGGAACACCGGUGGCGAAGGCGGCUCACUGGACCGUCACUGACGCUGAGGUGCGAAAGCUAGGGUAGCAAACGGG